AGGUCUCGUGCCCUCGAGCAAGAAACAGUCGCCCGACUCUGUGCCCUCCUUCGCCCGCCGCCGCCCUUCGUCCCUUCACCGCCACCGCUCCAUCCCUUCGCCGCCGCCCUGGCCAACGAGCCUCCCUCGAUCUAUUUCCUAAGAUCUCUCAAGACCGCCCCAGCCCCGAGACAGGCAGCCACCGAGAUCCGAGAUUGGAGAUGAGCCGCCUCCGCUGAGGAACGAGAGGAGCCGUCGCCUCCAGGUCGUCGUUGUGCCACACCGCCGCCUCCAGGUCGCCGCCGUCACGCACUGCCUCAGGUGUUCGUUUUGCACAUGUUCAUAGUGGGCAACCUCGAGGUCAUCGUCACUUCGAGCGCGGCGAGAUCCUCGAGGUCGUCAUCAUCACAGACAAGGGCACUGGCAGAUCCAAUGGCGGCGGAUUCGAGGCGGAGGCGGCCAUUAGGGCGUGCUUCAGUCCGUACCCGAUGAUUGGCAGCCGGAGGGCAACUGCAACCUCGCAUGCCUCGGGUCCAGAGGUCCAAGGCACCACAACCAACUGCCUCUUCAGCCAUAUGCUGGGUGUCCGUGUUGAACGUAGCAGAUGGUUGCCCUUCAAGCAUCAACAAAUUGGAAAUUUCAAGCCCUGAUGAGAUUACAAGCAGGGUAGAAAGGGAAUCACCACCAUCACGCCAAAACAUUGAAGGUGAAUAAGUGAACCAUUAUUUAAGUAAAUAGACGAAUCAUAUUUUGUUAGAACUAACCAGUUGCUGCUAAUAUAAUCCUCUCCAGGAAGAUCAGUUUCAGACAAUAUAAUCUGCUAUUUGCUUUCUAAUUUCUAUGUAUUUAAGCAUGUUCAAACUCAGUACAAUUGUACAAAUGGAUAUAUUUUGAUUUGGUGACUUGCUAGAGACGAUUGUUCUGGACAGAACCUGGACCUUAUGAUAUCUACCUAUAUAUAUGUUUCUGGCCGCAUGCCUACUUAUUCUCUUAAGGCCACAGUAGGACCGAUCGACACUAGAUAUAUCUAAUAACUGUAUCAUGGUUUUCGCAAAAAAAUUUAAAAAAUAACUAUCAUGGGAUCACAUGCCAUUCUUUUUGCUGAAAAAUCACCUGGCUUUAUUGGAAAUGAAUUACCAGGACAGAUCCUGUGCACAUUAUGCUUGGUUAACACCUUUCAUUUAUCACAAACUGAUGGGGAAUAAACACUAAGUAUGCAUGUCUUUCUAUCCUUCUGAUCAUAGCCAUCUUUGGUGUCAAGUGAUAUUAAAAUUCUGAAACUACACACACAUAGUUUAGGGGUUGUUCAUACAAUAAUCUGCAUAAGUAUGUGUCUAUGAAAUUAGCAGCAGUGGUUGUUCCUUUAGGUUGCUAGAAAUGCUUUUAGCUACAACAUUAUUUCUGUCAAAAACGUUCCAGCUGCCACAUAUGUACUCGUUUCAUUGUGUAGCGUAUUUCCGAAAAUGACAAUUCCUACGAUUCAAAGUUUUUGGACAAAGUUUGAAACUCGAAGGACGACUGCCGUAGUAGGAUGAAGAAAUUAUGUCGCGCACUGGAGGGUGUUGCCGUCGGUCGUGCGUUAGGCGUCUGUUCUACUGAAAGUCGCUCCCAGGAGGGCGUCCAUGGUCUAUGCCUCGAGAAGCAAAGAAGGGACUACAACUACAUCAUUGACACAGCAGCCGAGCAGAGCAUGAAAGCAUGUCGUUGAUACAAAUAUUCAAUUGCCACGGCCAUUGAUACAACAGCGGGGCAGAUCAUGAAUGUCAGAGACACGGUGGAGGUGACGCUACCUUUCUCGUCUUGGCAUCAUGCAGAUACUGGUAGUUUAGAUGUUAUUUGCCACACCGUGGAGAUCUCAUGUUCAAGCCCAUCGGAAGUGCAUAAUUUUGGUGAAGAUCGAUGUAAAUGAUUUUACUUGAGCUGAUACUUCUCCUCCGGUCUCAUUUACCAUCAAUAUUGGAAUUGGAUGUCGUUCCUAUUACACAACAAAAUGGGCAAGGUUAGGUUGCGGUUCAGUGUGGCAUUCUGGCAUAUGUUUUGGGGUACUGGAGGAGAUCCUUUUGGUGCACCUACAAAGAACUGGCCUUGGGAGGAUGGCACAAAUUCCCUGGCCAUGGCUAAGAGAAGAAGUAUGGGAAUUACCUGAUCUUGUGUCUUAGGUCCAUGGCUGGAAUCAACAACUUAUGCUUCGAUUUCUGUUUCGGUGAUAUCUCAAUUCGAGUUCAUGAAGAAGCUUGGAGUUGACAGGUGGUGCUUCCAUGACAGGGACAUCGCCCCUGAUGGGAAAACACUCGCGCACAAGGAAUAUGGUUAUUGAUGGUUUACGCCCCGGCUGCGCCCACAUCGUCCCGACACCAAGUUCAAGACCAAGUUCUAACCCUUGUACCCAAUCUACCUCCAUGGAUCGUGUCUCUCACUACCCAAGAGCAUCAAUUCAACUCAACAGAUUGACAAAAGAGAUGAACCUAGAGUUUGAGGCUUGGGUAGUGUGGACAUUGACCUGAUGAUGAGUGUUGUAUGGUGGUCAAGUGGUGCCACUUCCCCUUGCCACACGCUGCUUAGUCUGCUCAUUGAAGGUGCUCUCUGUUGGUGUUUGGCUGCUGCUGCUACUGUAGGUCAAGGGCAUGCUAUGAUUACUUUGGUGGAGACAUAUUUAAGAAUGGUGUUAUCACUGAAUGCCCUUGAUGUCUGCCAAGAAGAAGGGAGCAAGCGGCAGAAGAUUAUGAUAUUGCUGCUAUUGGGAGAUGCAGUAAAAUAUGGACAAGUUCCUGUAUUUUAUGGAAGGUGUAGUAUUGAAGCUUCUUGCACUGAUCUAGAAUGGAUCUUGACUUCGCCCAAGAGUGAGGUAUAUUGAGAUUAAUGGCACACAGUUGCAUACUGAUAGGAGAACUGGUUACGGUUUGUCAUUAUUUCCUUGCAUCUACAGAUGUGAAAGCGCAUGUUACAUAAGAAAUCAUUAGCUCUGAAGCAUACUCACAUUGGACCAAGAACUAGGCGAGGUUCAGACUUCAGAGAAAUGAUAACAAGUCUCCUUUUCAUUCGAGCGGGGCGAUGAGGGAAAGAACUGAUUGUGGUGAAAGUCAGUUUAGUGCAUCAAGGAUUGGAGGUUCUGAGAUUUGCAAGAGGUGAUGGAGGAUGUUUAGUUACUUUGGCUCCUGAUAGAGUACUGGAAGAUGGGUACAAGCAUAAGCUUAUUCAAAAUCUGAAGUUCCUGACUGCAUGAGACAUGUACUCCCUCUGUUCCUAAAUAUAAUUCCUUUUAGAGUUUCCACUAUAGAGACUAGAUUCAGAUGUAUAUAGACGCCUUUUAGAGUAUAUGUUCGCUCAUUUUGCUCUGUAUGUAGUCUAUAGUGAAAUCUCCAAAAGACUUAUAUUUAGGAACGGAUGGAGUAUUUUGUAAUCUUUUUUUCUUCUUCUUUUUCAUUUUCUUCUACUUAUUUUCAGUUUGAACGAACGGAGGGAACAACAUGAAGAUGGGUAGCACUAUACAGUUUUAUAGCAGUAACAUUUUGCGAGCUUCUUAAAUUUGGUAUCUAUGAAUAGUUGAUUUGUUUGUUUUGGUUUAUAGCCUUGUAGAUGUUCACCUCUCUGCCAGAUUUGCAUAAUGGAAUGUCGUCUGGUGUAUUCGAUGGGCAGCUCAGCUUGCACGUGAAUUGGACGUGGCAAAGCUUAUCUUGGAGCAGACUCAAAAACAGUGGCGGCUAAAUUAAGAAGCUCGGAAAUUGAUAGAUCAAUCUAUGGCCUAUUGCUGAGGAGGUAAAGGAGUGCAUGCCAUCAAGAGAGGAGUUUCAGGGUGGUAUGGGUGAGAUGCUUGACUAAUGGAGCUUCUCUUUGGCUAACUAAAGAGGAUUGUGCGAAUAAGUUAUGUGAAACUUGGGCCAGGUACAUAUCAGAUCGUA